GGGCGGCGGGCGGCGGGCGGAAGGCAUCACUUUGUCCGGACUCUAAUUCAAAUUGUAUUCAUCCGAUCUUCACCAAACUUGGUCAGCAGUUGCAUCUAGUUGAUAUCUAGGCCAAGUUCGAAUAUGGGUCAUGCCGGGUCAAAAACUAGGUCAUAGGGUCAAUAAGUGCAUUUUCAAAGGGGCCACUUUGUCCGGACUCUAUUUCAAAUUGUAUUCAUCCGAUCUUCACCAAACUUGGUCAGCAGUUGCAUCUAGUUGAUAUAUAGGCCAAGUUCGAAUAUGGGUCAUGCCGGGUCAAAAACUAGGUCAUAGGGUCAAUUAGUGCAUUUUCAACGGCGCCACUUUGUCCGGACUCUAAUUCAAAUUGUAUUCAUCCGAUCUUCACCAAACUUGGUCAGAAGUUGUAUCUAGACAAUAUCUAGGUCAAGUUCGAAUAUGGGUCAUGCCGGGUCAAAAACUAGGUCACAGGGUCACUUAAACCAUUUCAAGCAUUUAGCAUGGUGUCCGCUCUCUAAUUGAAGUAGUUAUCAUCCGAUCUUCACCAAAUUUGGUCAGAAGUUGUGUCUAGACAAUAUCUACAUGUAGGUCAAG